CGCCUUGGCUUCCCUUGGCUACAGAGCCGUGGCUCCGGACUUACGUGGGUUCGGUGACACGGAUGCGCCGCCUGAGGUGACCAGCUACACGUGUUUCCACGUGAUUGGAGACCUCGUCGGACUCAUCGACACCGUGGCUCCCAGCGAUGAGAAGGUGUUUGUUGUGGGACAUGAUUGGGGUGCGCUCAUGGCAUGGUUCUUAUGUUUGUUUAGACCUGACAGAGUCAAAGCUUUAGUCAACUUGAGUGUCGUUUUUAAUCCUUUUGGUUCUAACGACAACCUGAUUGAGGCUCUGAGGGCUUAUUAUGGUGACAAUUACUACAUGUGCAGAUUUCAGGUAACUCGGAUGUCCAUAUCUAAAACGAUUAGGCUGUCCCUUAUAUAUAUAUAUACACACAAUAAUACUAUUCUGGUUCAGGAUCCUGGACUUUUUUGCUAAAAUUAUUAGCAUUAUUCUAUUAUAUCGUUAAACCAUAGGGUGAAUAUAUAUAUAUAUAUUGAUAUCAUAUCAUAUUAUUGUAUGCAGAAGCCUGGAGAAAUUGAAGCAGAGUUUGCGCAGAUUGGUACUGAGACGGUUAUUAAGGAAUUCUUCACAUUUUGGACUCGGGAUCGAAUUUUUUUGCCUAAAGGCAAAGGAUUUGGGCGUCCACCAAAUACGCCAAUAGCAUUACCCAGUUGGUUAUCUGAGGAAGAUGUUAAGUAUUUCACCACCAAAUUUGACAAGAAAGGCUUUACUGGAGCAAUGAACUAUUACAGAAAUAUUUAAUCUGUAAUGCUCUAUUAUUCCUUACUCUCUACAUUUGAUACGCAACUUUUUAAUUUUGUGAACUUUCAAUUGUGAAAUGAAAUUAUUGGCUAUUACUUAAAAUUGCAUAUUAUGCAAUGUAUAUUUAUUAGAUACUAUCAACUUUUUAUUUUUCCUUUAACGACACCACACUACCAUCGUAAUUGACUAUUGUGAUUUUAAUGUUAAAUUGAAGUACAACAGUUUCAAUAUAUCAUCUCUCUCUCUCUAUAUAUGUAUGUAUGUAUGUAUGUUUCAAUUGGAAUUUUAAAGUGUAGGAAAGUCCAUAAAAACAAGUUUAUGCGCUUUAAGUUUUAAGCCUCUUAAACCCCACGGUUUUAAAAUUUUUCUGAAUUUUUUCUGCAUUUUAAAAUCUCGAACCAAAAAAUAACUCUCUCUCUCUCUCUCUCUCUCUCUCUCUCUCUAUAUAUAUAUAUAUAUAUAUAUAUAUAUAUAUGUAUGUAUACACAGAUAUAUAGUAAAAUCCUUUUCAUCAUUGCCGGAACGAUGAACUUCUUGCACCGUGGGCAGGGAGUCAAAAACAAAUUCCGACCAAGUUCAUUAUAGGCGACUUGGACAUGACAUAUCAUAUGCCGGGGGUGCAAGAAUACAUACACAAAGGUGGGUUCAAAAGAGAUGUGCCAUUGUUGGAGAAAGUAGUCAUAAUGGAAGGAGUUGGACACUUCAUUAAUCAAGUAAAGAGUAAUGAGAUUAGCAAGCACAUUUAUGACUUCUUCAACAAGUUCUGAUUAGCUCUUUGCAUCUUCAUGCAUAUUUCCACUUGGGUGUUUUUUUGUUUUAAUAAAGUUGCUGGGAUGUUCUUGUGCCGGCCUGUUUUAGUUUUCGAUUCAUUACGAACCAAGCUAGUGGCUUUGGCUCGUAAUUUCCGUAUUGUUGGAAUAAUCAAAUAAUUUAAGGUGACUUUUGGUAUUGUUUCUCAAAUGUUAUUUUUGUACUUGUUUUAUAAUAUAGAUAUAUUUUCAGAGGUUGUCCCUUUCUCUCCAGUGGAAACAAUAUAUACUAUUUAUUACCUACUAGUUUCAUAAUAUUGAAAAAAACCCAGCACCAUAAAUUUAAAGGAUAAGAGGGAUAUUAAAUGGGUCAUUUGCUUGACAAGUUAUUUUGAUAUAAAAUAUAUAUUUAUUUUAAGUAAAAAAAGAAAAAAAGAAAAAUAUCUUAUUAUUAAUUUUUUAUUCACACCGAAACAUAUAUUUUUUAGAUUUAGUACUUAAAUUUUUUUUAUUUUAAUUGUUAUUUAUAUCAUUUAGUUAAUUUAUAAUAAAUACGAAUAAAAAUAUUAUUUUUAAAUAAGAGUAAUUUAGUAAAGCUACGUUGCCGGGGGGUUACUACUGUAAGUGAGAUUUAUCAUUCUGUAAGAGAAAAUUAGCAAUCUCUCACUAGUUUUUAGUGGAUGUAAAAAUAUAUUUGAUAGUUUGUUUUAAAUUAGCAUUUGAAAGUGAAAUAAGUAAGAACGUGUUUGGUAGAUUGCUUGAAAAAAAAAAAAAAACUCUCUGUAGUCAUAUUACUGAGAUCAAACUAAUUUUAUUGUUAUGAAGAUGUUAUAACUUGAUAGAGGUACAACAAUAAAAAUUAUUUUCUUAACUUAUUGAAAAAUUAAAAUUAUGGACAGAGUUUAUAGAUCAGUUUGGGGCAGCUGCGCUGCCACCGCGCAGCUGCCCCCCAGGCCAAUUCUAGGGGAAUAUUCCCCUAAAAUUGGCCUGGGGAGCAGCUGUGCGGUGGCAGCGCAGCUGCCCCAAACAGGUCCUAUUUCAUAAAAUAUGAGCAGGAAUUUGAAUCAUAGGGCCCACUCCCAUUCCCGGGGAAGCAGGAAUUAGUCUCCUAUUUUCAGGAGUGAUGAUUUUGGUCUCGUACAAAAUUCAUAAACCCAGUUUUAUCCUUAAUUCAAAAAAAAAAAAUCCCAACAUAGCAAUCUCGUCGAUGAGAUCGAUUUGUAGCCUCGUUGACAACAACCGAAAGCCAUGACAUCGCGUCUCGAUCGUCGAAUGUAGCAGUCCGGUUGUCGACUUGCGCAUCACCAUCGCACGCAUCACUGUCGCACGCGAUGCAGAUCCUCAGCCUCAUGCAUACAUAGUCGUCAAUCAUCGCUGCCACUCACCAUCACCAAUUGUCCAGCCACCUCUGCCGCACGCCAGUCAUACUAUUUUGUUGUUAUAGUUAUUAAUAACAAAAUAAUGUUAUUUUGUUAUAUUUUGGUUGUAUUGAUUGUUGUUGUUGUUAUUGACAAUAGUUAUUAAUAACAAUAGAAAAAUGAUAAUAAUUCAUAAUUAUUACAAAAAAUAAUAAUAAUAACAACAACAAUUAAUUAACGGUAUUUAGUAACUUAAAACUAUUCAUGAUAUAAUAAACACAUUCAUGAUAAUACAACCCAUUCUAAUUCAGAUGAUUACAGUUUAAGUAAACAAUUUAUUUUAAUUCUCAUUGCCCAUUUCUUUUUCAGUCAUUCAGAUUCAUGGCCAUUCUUAUUUCUGUUUAGCAAAACGCACAAAAAAAAAAUUGGACACAAUCUAUUCCUGCCAAAUACAAAAUUAUGUCAUAAAAUGCCUUACGUAACAUUUUUUUUCAUGUUAUUAUUUUUGCAAAACAGAAAAUGACUGACCAUAAAAAUACCAAAUACCCUUUAUUCUUUCUCCAUUUUUCAAUCAACCUCGCACGUUUAUAAUGAAAUCAAUACAGGCUUAAUUGUAGGGAUGGCAAUGGCCAAAUCGAGUUAGGGCUAUGAGUCAGGUUCACCUCGUGCUCAACCAUGAUUUUUAUUUCAUUUUAUUUUUAUUUAUUUACUUUUUAGAUAUUGUCUUACAAUAGGUUUUCUAUUCUAAAUUCUUUAAUAAUAAUAUUGUUCUAUUUUUAUAUUACAUUUGGUUUUAAUGAAUUUAAUAAACUAUUUAACUUUAACAACAAUACAAUAUUUUGUAAUAAUUUAACCAAAUUAACAACAAAUAGAUUAAUUAAUUAUAAAAUAACUAAAUUAACAUGAGAAAGAAUAUUCUUAAGGAGCAGGUGAAUCAUAUGUGUGAUGUACAAGUAUUAAGUUUUUUUUUAAAGUAAAAAUUAAUUUAACAGUCCAGAGUAAAGUAAAGACUUUUUGCUGAGGGCCGAAUGUAAUUAAACCCUAAGGCCAUGUUUGGAUGUUAGAAUUAAUUAUAGGAUUGGAUUAAUUUUGGAUUAGAUUAAGGGGAACUAGAUUUGAAUUUAAUCCUAAAAUCAUAGGACUAAUAAUACUAAUUUACACUUGGGUUUAGAUAGGAUAAGAUCUAAAGAAAAAAAUUGUCCACUCAUGAGACUUUUAUUUAUAUCUUUUUUUCAUUUACACCUAAUAUUAAUUAAUUAAUUUAUUUUUAUUUAUGAUUUACUGAAAUUUUAUUUUUAUUUAUUAUCUAUGAAUUAAUUAAAUUGGCACUUUUACUUCUACUAACUCUUGAGAUUAAAUUUUCAUUACUUGUACAUUUAAUAAUUUAUCAAUAAAAUUAACCAUUUAAUAAUUUAUUACAUUAUUCGAUUGUACUAAAUUUAAUAACCACUAAUAUAUUAUUAAAAAUAAUCAUGAAAUGAAUAAUACCAUUAAUUAAUUGAUUUUAUAUAAUAUUUUUAAAUAUUUGAUAAAAAUUAAUUAAAUAUUUAGAUUGUUUUAUGCAUUUUUAUUUGGUUAUUAUAUUAUAACUACCCAAUAACUUAUUUACAAUAUAUUUAAUUUUCUUAUUAAUUACUUUUUAAAUUUAUUUUAAUUAUGAUUACAAAAUUUCAUGAAUCAUUGAUAUUUAUAUUUAAAUGUCAACUUAAAUGCUCUUUAAUAUUAUCUAAAUAUAAUUUAACAUAAUCUAAUCUGGUAUUAUACCAAAUAUAAGAUUAUAUAAUAUAAUUCAACUUAAUCUAACCCAACUCAAUUUAAUACAACCCUAAUAAUUAAUUUAAUCUAAUUUUACGUGCUAAACCCAACCUAACCCAAUCCUCAAUCAAAAUCUAAAAGUUUUGAAUGGGAUCAAUCCUGCCAAGUGCCAGCAGGACUUUUCUCUAUCCCUCUUUAGGCUAUUUUAUAGGAGAUUAAGACUUUGACACGGCAGCGAGCAAGUUAGUCAAGUCACGCCGACAGGCACAACCACACAAGUGUCAAAAUAGUAUUCAUUCUUUAUGAAAGUAACAAAUUUUCACUCCUCGAGUAAUGGUGGCCUUGCUGAAGAGAUGAGCCCUAUCCAGUGCAAAAGUUUUAUCUGAAACGUAAUUCAAUUUUAUAUUUUUUUUAAAUAAUGUUUAAUAAAGAGUACUCUCGGAAAAUCCUUCACUCCAGUAAAAGAUUCAUCUCAAGAAUGCGUGCUUGACUGUUUGCUUUCACACGGCCAUCUUAAAACAGAAUGACGCUUCGUCUGAAAAGGAUUGAAAUCCCUCUCCCCGAAAAUUUUGUGUACAUUUUGUUUGAGUAGAUAUCAUGAGCUCAAGCACUUCCUGGCCUUCGGCGUUUUUUAAUAUCAAAGCGUACAACCAGGAGGCCCGCUAUACCAGCUGUUGUCUUUUGACCAGCUUUUACAGGGCGAACACCUUGUGGGGUGCCUGCACAAACCGAAUCGAUGGUACAAUAAGUCAAACUUCAGUUAUUGAUAAAGACUUGCAUACAAAACUGGGAGCUGAUUUGAAGGAUUUGAAUAUGAUUAUGAAAAUUGGAGAGAAGGAUAUCUUAUGAAGUGAACACAGUAAAUAACAAUAAUGACAAUAAUAACGUAACUUAUACACAGUGACAAUACACCUUCCUAAGCAUAAUAAGCUCUAACAUAUCAGUUAUCAGUAUUUAUACCAAGUAAAAUUGCGCGUAUAUUCUUCACCAAAGCAAAAAUGAAAUUUGGUAACAGAUUCCACUAUCAACUGAUAUGCCAGUUUAUGCCAAGACAUCGUAAUUUCUUGGAGCACCUAGAAAAAUUAACUUACAAAGCGUGUUAGUGUUUUUAUUUGAAGGGAAAUGAACUGCAAUACCUGUUAAUAUGACAUCUCCUUCAAAAAGUGUCAUAAUUGAACUUAUGUGGCUAAUUAGAUAUGGUAUCUUAAAAAUCAUAUCCUUAGUGGAGCCUUUCUGUCGAAUCUCUCCAUCAACCUGCAGUGAAACACAUUUAAAGUUAAUCCACCCAGUGAAAAACAAAUUUGAAGCUUUGACAAAAGCCAUAAAGAAAUAUGAGAGUAAAGUGUAAUGAUUAUGCACCUUUAACCAUAGUUCCAAGUUGUGAGGGUCAGGCACUGCUGACUUUGGUAGCUGCAAAUAUAUUUUAAACAAGUCAAAAAGGAGUGUAUUUAGUAAACACAGAACAAAAUUGGCAAUAGAAAAUAAAAUUCUCUUCCUCUCUUCUUUUCUACUAGCAGAUACAAGUAAAGGGUGCACCAAGCGGAGGAUAAAUGGUAAACUCUUGUCUGCUUUGAAAGAAAAACACCAAUUUUCUUUUUCAAACUUCGACAAACAAGGUAUAACCGCUAUUCUCAAGCACAAUUAUUUCCUUCCCAUAGCCUAUCCCAAAGCCACAUUUGGUGCUGUCAAUGGCCUAACAAUAAACUGGUUCAAAAUUAGGCUUUCAAUAUCGGGCUUGAAAAUUGAUUACUGCACAACAUAAUUUCAGCAGAGACAGAAACAUCAAAGUACUCCAAUCAGUUUCUUACGACAGAGCUAAUUGGAGUGAAGGUGUCCUGCCCUUUAACCACUGUCCACGGAAGACAUGCAGACGGACAUAUUGGACAAAAAAUAAAUGACAAGAAAAUGCAGCAUUAUAAAUUGGAUCAAAUAAGAUAACUUAAUGUGCUCAUACACUUAUUGUUUCAUAAUGAAGCACACAAGUAGUAUCCAAUCUUCUGAUUAUAAGUAGGUAUUAUUUCAGAAUACAAUUGAAUAAUACUCGAUCCUCAUGUUCAACAGCAUAACACAUUACAAAGGAAUAAACCCAUCUUCUCUCAUAGGCAUAAAUUCUCUCCAAAUCGAAAAGAAAAAAAAAAUGUGCUAUUUAAUCGCCAAGACAUUGAUUCGGAACCUGUCUAAUUUCAUUACAAAACUUCCAAUCUGAGUAUUCUUUAAAUAUCUGAAAGAUUAAAAUUUAUCCAAAUAAUAAUCUCAUUAGCUGUUAUUAGAAAAUGUUGGGAUCCGGUUAUAAGAUUAUCCCCUUAGCGAUCCGGUUGUUAUUAUUCCAAUCCUCAAAAUUUCACCCAAAUUUGGUUAAGAAAUUGCUGAUAAGUCAUUUAAGGUGAUGUUUUCCGCUGCACUUUUUUAAUUGCAAGUGGUACGAGAGUAGACUGAUACCGAUCACCAGAGUCUUGGGUCGAGUGACUUAUCUCCUUAACUAAUUCUUUAUGUUCAGGACCUCGAUGCAAACUGAAAAUUUGGUAAAUGAAGCAAAAUCUAUGUUAAAAUGAUCUGCUUUAGAAUUUAAGGUUUCUUCAAAACCAAGGCGGAACGUUAGCCAAAAAUGUGCAUUUCUUUUCCUAAGUUAAAAUGAUUUGCCUCGUUUACUUAUUUAUUAUUGGCUCAAAUAAGCUUGACCAGUAAGCAUGAAGGAAGUUGAACAACAGCCAGUGAAGUAAGUUGUAUCAUCAUCUGGUGAAUCUGUUUUAGCCUGCUGCUGCACACGAGUAAUUUGAUAUGAUAACAAUUUAAAACUGCAAUGCAAUUUGGAAACAGAAGUUUUAAGGGGCACUAACAGCUUGCUUUUGGUAACUUUGUGCUGUUGAUGGCCCAGAGUUCCCACGGCUUCUUCUCUCAUUCACAAGAAGAAGUGCACAUUUUCAUGUAAAGAAUAGAAGCAGCACUCCCACAAAAAACGUAAUAAAGCAUUCGAUGACAAUGCCUGAUCCUAGAGCUGCAUUUAUAGGAAAAGGUUAGUGAGUACAAAUCUGUGAAAUGGAUAGUAAUUAAAAUGACAACUAUCACUUACUAUGAACUAACUCGGAACUCAUUGGCCUUCUAGUUUACGGUAGCCUCAGCGAAUAAAGGUAAUGAGAUUUUCUCAGUACAAUCUGGACGGCAACCAUAAUGUCCCAUAUCGUUUAAUUUCACUUUUAAAACAUCAUGUCCUUCACUACUCUAAAUGCAAAGAACAGAUGGCUGAUUCAAGAUCAUUGAUAUUUUCUUAUUGGUGUGCUCUGUGAUUGUGUUUUCCUCCAAAGUUACACUAUAAACUUCAAAGCUAAAAAACUUACUUGAUAAAACCUAACUACGCUGGCUUUAAUUGUGAAAUGUUUUGAGAUAGUAACGUAUGUUUGAAGAGGUUCCCACUGAAAACUUGUCUUUAGCUUCAGUUCGGUCGAAUUAAUAAGCUCUGCCGGUAUACUGGUUACAAGUAAUCCAUCAUUAACUUCCAUGGAAAAUGUGACUAAAAAUGCGAGACGUACCACCUGAAUCAUAAAGGAGAGUAAGCAGAAUCUGCAAUGAAUUAAAUAGAAAAAUGCUAUUAAACACAUCCGGAUAGUUAAAAGCACCUGGGUCCCCAAUGGAGAAAGCGAACUUGUUUGUUUCUCAAUCAAGUAUCUGCGACUCAUCUGCAUCAGUCAUCAGAACAAUAUAUUCAGGGACUUGAAUAAAUGGAGAAUCAUUAACUGGAUCCACAAAAACCAAAACCGCCAAAUCAUUUGUCCCAUUCUUGUUCCUGGCAGAGACUAGAAUUGUGUCCUCACCAUAAAAGUUUUUGUUUCUGAACUAAAAAAAUGAAAAAAAACGAGUCACUAGUAAGGUAUGAAUAAUGUAAAGCUUGAAAAGUCCAUAAGAGUAUUAAUCCAGGAGGUAAUACACGAGAUAUUAAAUCAUAUCGAGUGAGUGAAUAAUACUGGCUGUCACUUCCUUUGUGAAUGGAUGGCCCCCAUUCAAAAAAAUAUUUGCGCAGAGUACAAGAAUUUUAUAAAUUCCACUCUUUUCAGGAGUAUAAGUAACAUCAAAAGCUCUGGCCUGAACUUUCAGUUUGCCGGAAGACUGGAUUCAAGGGUUUUUUUUUUUUUUUUUUUUAAAAAAAAAAGCAUCACUCCAGAAAAUCUUAUGUAUGACUUCUCAAAGAAAAUAUGUGAAUUUGUUUCUUUCAGUGUUAGUUGCGUCAACAGACGGUGAGGGAGCAAUUUCUAUCUGGUCAAUAAUACCAUUAGUUGGUUCUAUUAAUCUUCCAUUUCUAAAAGAGUGCUGCUAAAUAUCAAGAACAACGAGAGAAAAGACGAGAGAAUUGCCUAUUCUCUCUUUCUUCUGUUAGCUUUUUUUUUUUCUCUCUCCUCCCAGCACAAGUUUCAUUCUCUCAUCCUUCUCUCGUUUUUCUUAAUACUUAACAUUUUCCUUUCUAAAACGAUAGGGCUGAAGUCUGUUAUAAUUAAUUAAUCUUUGAUAUGAUAUUAUAUUAUUGUAUGUAGUCAAAUAAUAACAAUGUAAUAUUAGCUUUAGACUGUUUAUAAGACUUUUAACUUAUAGAUGUUUCGGUGACAUAAUUUGUCAUCACAUACAUUAAUUCUGGAUCUGCCGAGCCAUGUCAUGUGGGAAUUAAAAAGAGAGAGCAGCACAGCAUACAAGAAAAUAUUCUGAAAUGGUGCCCAAAUUCAACAACCAAUAAACAAGCAAACUUGUAUCUUGUAAUUUUUAUUUUUAUUUUUUUGUUCUUUUAUCUAAGAAGCCGGUGGUGUCUAAUCCACCUUCAAAUACUUACUGUAUUAACAAUUAACUUAUUCGUAGUGUAUUUUAAAAGUGUAAGAUCCUAGAAAACAUACUGAAUUCAAUCAACAGUAUCUCCCCUACCAUUCAUUUGAGAACUUGUUUUAUCUAAGAAGCAGGUGGUGUCUAAUCCAAAUCAUAGGGUGCGUUUCGGAUUGAGGUUGGGUAGCUGUAGCUUAAAAGCUACAACACUAAAGUGUUUGGUAAACACUAACUGCUGUAGCUUUUAAGCUAUGUUGAUAUAAUUUUUCACUUGUAUAAUAUAAAAUUUAUUAUAUCUUUAAUAAUUUUGAUAAAAUUAUUAUUUAAAAUUUAUAUUUACUAUAUAUUAUUAACUUUUAUUUCAUAAUUACAGUUUUUUUUUCACAGCAGCUGUAGCUUUUAAGCUACAGCACCUCAAUCCCAAACGCACCCAUACUUGUCUAUCUCGGUACAGCUGCCCGAGAUGGGCCAAACUGCAAUGCUUUUCAAAAUUUCUCUGAAAUACUCGUCAAAAAAAAAAUAAAAAUCUCUGAAAUAUAUAGCUGUUACAGCUCACGCCCUAAAAAGUAACGUACAAUCAUAAAAAUAAAGACGAGCGAAGAUAAUUUUAGUGCACAUAUCUAUAUGUGAUGCAAAACGAUUCUCCUCGAACUCAUCCUAUAAAAUUAUCUUUACCAACAAUGCAUUCUUGGAUAAUCCGCUUGGAAAGUCUUCCUUUUCGUUCCUAAUUUUUCCUCUCUCUUCUAUCCUUUAACUCUAUUUAGCAACAUAAUAACUAGAAAUCAGAACCUUCAAUUCAUUCAUAGCCAGUGUUUUUACUUUUGAGGGACUGAGUUAACAUGGAGGGCAUACAACACAGAAUUGUUAAGGUGAACGGCAUUAACAUGCACAUUGCAGAGAAAGGUCAAGGUCCUGUGAUCCUCUUCCUUCACGGCUUUCCUGAGCUCUGGUACUCUUGGCGCCACCAGAUCACCGCCUUAGCUUCCCUUGGCUACAGAGCCGUGGCUCCGGACUUACGUGGGUUCGGUGACACGGAUGCGCCGCCUGACGUGACCAGCUACACAUGUUUCCACGUGAUUGGAGACCUCGUCGGACUCAUCGACACCGUGGCUCCCAAUGAUGAGAAGGUGUUUGUUGUGGGACAUGAUUGGGGUGCGAUCAUGGCAUGGUUCUUAUGUUUGUUUAGACCUGACAGAGUCAAAGCUUUAGUCAACUUGAGUGUCGUUUUUAAUCCUUUUGGUUCUAUCAACAACGUGAUUGAGGCUCUGAGGGCUUAUUAUGGUGACAAUUACUACAUGUGCAGAUUUCAGGUAACUCGGAUGUCCAUUUCUCAAACGAUAUGGCCGUCUAUUAAAAUUAAUUAAUCUUCCGUGUGUAGUACUUCAAAUUAUGAAGUCAUAUGAUUUAAUUAUACUGUUAAAUUAUAUGGUUUAAUAAUUUUUUUAAGUUUUAACAAAUUUAGGAGUCUAAAUUUGUAUAUUUGGGAUAGGAAAAAUAUCCACCGUCCACUCGUUUUUUACAUCUUUUUUAAAAAUACACAAUUCUUUCAUUUUUUGGCUGGAAUUCACCUAAAGUUACAUUUUGUUUCACUUUUCCACUUCCAUUUGGAAUCCGUUAAAAAAACUAACGGAAACUUAAAAAAAUGAUCAUUUUACCCCUCAAAAUGAAAAUUACAAUUUCACCUUAAAAAUUGUAAAAAAAUAAUCAAAUUAAAUCUAAUUAUUUUUUCUAUUGGUCAAUAAAGAAAUUAAUUUCACAACCAUCCAAUGUAGGUUUUUUUUUAAAUAUAUCUGUAAUUAGAAUGCUAAAUUAUAACAGUAGUAUUAAAAAUAGCUCAAUCUCGCAAACCAUCAAUUGAAUUUAAGAUAAGUAGAGUUUUAUUAUUCAUUGAGUUAUAAUCUCUAGUAGUUAAGAUUUUUUUUGUACUUCAUUAAUGUACCAAUAAUGAUAUUCAUUAUUAAAUCUGAUUAUUUUAUAUAUUUUUUAGGGUGAAAUUACAAUUUUCGUUUUGGGGGUAAAAUUGUCAUUUUUUAAAGUUUACGUUAGUUUUCUUAAAGGAUUCCAAACGGAAGUGGAAAAGUGAAACAAAAUGUAACUUUAGAUGGAUUCCAACAAAAAAAUGAAGGAAUCGUGUAUUUUUGAAAAAAGUGUAAAAAACGGGUGGACGGUGGAUAUUUUUCCUUUGGAAUAUUUUCAUAUACGAGAAUUGAUCUCGCUCAAGAUAUUGAAUUUAUUAAAAUUCAAAAAAAUUAUUAAAACAUAUGAUUGGAUAGCAUUAUGCUAUUAUAUUAUUAAAUCACAUGGUUUAAUAACUUUUAUAGAUAUUAUACUAUUAAACUGUAUGUUUAAGUAACUUUCUCAAACUUUAAUAAAUUCAGGAUAAAAAUUAAAAUAUUUGUGUAUGCGCGCGCGAUAUAUAUGAUAUUAUGUUAUAUUAUUGUAUGCAGGAGCCUGGAGAGAUUGAAGCAGAGUUUGCGCAGAUUGGUACUGAGACGGUUAUUAAGGAAUUCUUGACAUUUCGGACUCCGGGACCGAUUAUUUUGCCUAAAGGCAAAGGAUUUGGGCAUCCACCAGUUGCUCCAAUGGCAUUACCCAGUUGGUUGUCUGAGGAAGAUGUUAAGUAUUUCACCGCCAAAUUUGACAAGAAAGGCUUUACCGGAGGAAUCAACUAUUAUAGAAAUAUUAAUCUGUAAUGCUCCCUUAUUCCUCACUCUCUACGUUUUUUUUUUUUUGUUAAAAGGAAGGCUAAUAUUGCAUUAACACAAAGAAGAAAAGAGAUACAAUAGUUCUGAAGGGUAUGAACCCAUCCACACAAUAGUUUCACAUUUUUCCAAAGCUAAUUUAGUUAAAGAAUGGGCAAUGGUAUUACAAGAUCUAUGGGCAUACUGAAUCUUAACAUGAUCAAAUCCCUUAAUUAAGUUCUGAAUUUCAGAUAUUACCCAAAAAAUUUCACAUCUGCUGCCCUGCAUGUUGUUUACAAGAUUGACCACCUCUUGAGAAUCUGAUUCAACCAUCAAACUCCUUGCUCCUGCUUGAGCUGCUAUCUGAAUUCCCCACUCCAUUGCUUCGGCCUCCACAAAAGCUACAUCACCAUUAAACUUAGAGAGCUUAAUUGCAGCUGCCAAAACAUUUCCAGCUUCAUCUCUACAUUUGAUACAUAGCUUUUUAAUUUUGUUAACUUUCAAUUGUGAUAUGAAAUUAUAAGCUAUUAAGUAAAAUUGCAUAUUACAACAUGCAUAUUUAUUAAAGGAAAAUGUUUGGUGUAGAGAAGCACGAGAGAAAGACGAGAGAAAUAAUGAAAAAAAGUAUAGAGAGAGAGUGAGUGGGUAGAGAGAGAGAGAGAGAGAGAGAGAGCAAAAUUCUCUCGUCUUUCUCUCAUGCUUCUCUCUCUCUAGCACUACCCUUUAUUAAAUACUAUCAACUUUUAAUUUUCCUUUCACAGCAUCACACUAUCAAACGAAACUAACUAUUGUGAUUUUAAUGUCAACCUGAAGCAAAAUAGUUUCAAAUAUAUCCUCUAUAUAUAUAUAUAGUAAAUCCUUUUCGUCAUUGCAGGAGCCAGGAACUUCUUGCACCGUGGGCGGGGAGUCGAUUACAAAUUCCGACCAAGUUCAUUAUAGGCGACCUGGACCUGGUUUAUCAUAUGCCAGGGGUGAAAGAAUACAUACACAAAGGUGGGUUCAAAAGAGAUGUGCCAUUGUUGGAGGAAGUAGUGAUAAUGGAAGGAGUUGGGCACUUCAUUAAUCAAGAAAAGGGUGAUGAGAUUAGCAAGCACAUUUAUGACUUCUUCAACAAGUUCUGAUUAGUUCUUUGCAUCUUCAUUCAUAUUUCCGCUUGGGUGUCUUUUUGUUUUAAUAAAGUUGCUGGGAUGUUCUUGUGCCGGCCUGUUCUAGUUUUUGAUUCACUAUAUACCAAGCUAUUAGUGGCUUCGACUUGUAAUUUCCGUAUUGUUGGAACAAUCAAAUAAUUUAGAGUGCCUUUGGUAUAUAAAGUUAUCUAAUAUAUAGAUAUUGAUAAAAGAAAUAUAUAUAAUUUCACAAACUAGUACAUGUAUUUAUAUAGUGUUAUAUAAAGUCAUCUUAAAAGUUUAAUAUUUGCAUUCUCUUUAAUUUUUUUUCUCAAUGUAAAUUCUAUAAAUAUUGUAUAAUAUACAAAUCAUUAUCCCAAACAAUCAUUAAAAAAAAAAUUGUUUCAUCAUGAAUUUUUAAAGCAGCAUAGCAUAUAUUGUUUAAAAUAUGGAAAUAAUUGUUACUAUGUAGAGCUAAGUUUCGUAAGAUAGUAUCUAGAAAAAAUUAAUCACUUAUUAUAAUGUUUACUUCAAUCUUAUUUAUAAUUUAAUCAAAUUAGGACUAAAUUUUUUUAUAACUAUAUAGAGAUUAUUCUUAUAUAGAGUACUACUAUAAUGAAAUUUUACUAUAAAGUAAAAUAUAUGUAAGCCCAUCUUUUGGUCUUAUUUAAUUUGUAUUAAAGUUUUAAAUGAAAAGAAGAAACGUGAGGACUAUGAUAAUUAUUAUGGAAAUAAAACAAAAAAGUUGAGCCCAAGUUUAAUUUACAAUGGAAGAAUACGAGAAAUAACAAAAAGGUUGUUUUCUACUCUUGUUCACAAAUUGUGCAUUUACUUCUUGCAUUAGAGAAUUGGAAUUAUUAACAAGUUUAUUUCACAAAAUGAGAGCGGAAAUCAGAAUACUCACCCCAAUUUGGGAAUGAAAAUUCUCAGGGGAUGGGAAUUAGAAUUAGAAAAAAACCCAGAUUAGGUUGGAGGCUUAAAGCCCCGGCACGCAUAGAUUGAGCCUAAAUAUGGGCCGCAAAAUUUAAAGUCCGCACAAGUUGGGUUAUGUCAUAAGAUGCCUUACAUAACAUUUUUUUUUUUACUGACCAUAAAAAUACCAAAUACCCUUUAUUCUUUUCUCAAAUUUUCAAUCAACCUCGUAGGGUUAUGAUGAAAUCAAUACAUGCUUAAUUGUGGGGAUGUCAAUGGCCAAAUCGGGCUAGGGCUAUGAGUCAGGGUCACCUCGAAAAUUUUGUGUACAUUUUGCUUGAAAUGCAGUUGCAGUGGAGUGGACAUCAUAAGAUCAAGCACUUCCUGGCCUUCGGCGUUUUUCAAUAUCAAAGUGUACAUCCAGGAGACCCGUUAUACCAGCUGUUAUCUUUUGACCAACUUUUACAGGGCCAACGCCCUGUGGAGUGCCUGCACAAACCGAAUCAAUAGAACAAUGUCAAACUUCAAUUAUCCAUAAAGACUUGCAUCCAAAACUGGGAGUGGAUUUGAAUAUGAUUAUGAAAAUUGGCGAGAAGGAUAUCUUAUGAAGUGAACACAGUAAAUAACAAUAAUGACACUAAUAACGUAACUUAUACACAGUGACAAUACACCUUCAUAAGCAUAAUAAGCUCUAACAUAUCAGUUAUCAGUAUUUAUACCAAGUAAAAUUGCGCGUAUAUGCUUCACCAAAGCAAAAAUGAAAUUUGGUAACAGAUUCCACUAUCAACUGAUAUGCCAGUUUAUGCCAAGACAUCAUAAUAUCUUGAAGCACCUAGAAAAAUUAACUUAUAAAGUAUGCUAGUGUUUUUAUUUGAAGGAAAAUGAACUGCAAUACCUGUUAAGUGUUAACAUGACAUCUCCUUGAACAAGUGUCACAAUUGAACUUAUGUGGCUAAUUAGAUAUGGUAUCUUAAAAAUCAUAUCCUUUGUGAAGCCUUUCUGUCGAAUCUCUCCAUCAACCUGCAGUGAAACACAUUUAAAGUUAAUCCACCCAGUGAAAAACAAAUUUGAAGCUUUGACAAAAGCCAUAAAGAAAUAUGAGAGUAAAGAGUAAUGAUUAUGAACCUUUAACCAUAGUUCUAAGUUGUGAGGGUCAGGCACUGCUGACUUUGGUAGCUGCAAAUAUAUUUUAAACAAGUCAAAAAGGAGUGUAUUUAGUAAACACAGAACAAAAUUGGCAACAGAAAAUAAAAUUCUCUUCCUCUCUUCUUUUCUACUAGCAGAUACAAGUAAAGGGUGCACCAAGCGAAGGAUAGAUGGUAAACCCUUGUCUGCUUUGAAAGAAAAAGACCAAUUUUCUUUUUCAAACUUCGACAAACAAGGUAUAGUUGUCAUUUUGAAGCACAAUUAUUUUGUUUUCCAUAACCUAUCCCAAUACCACAUUGGUGCUGUGAAUGGCCAAACAAAGAACUGGUGCAAAGAGUAAACCAAACUGUUUAAAAUUAAUUUUUCAAUAUUGAGCCUGAAAAUUGAGUACAACACAGCAUAGUUUCAGCAGAGAUAGAAACAUCAAAGUACUUCUUUCAGUUUCUUUCGAAAGAGCUAAUUGGUGUGAAGGUGUCCUGCCCUUUAGCCACUGGCCAUGGAAGACAUGCAGACGGACACAAUGGACAAAAAAUAAAUGAUAAGAAAAUACAGCAUUAUAAAUUGGAUGAAAUAAGAUAACUUAAUGUGGUCAUACACUUAUUGUUUCAUAAUGAAGCGCACAAGUAGUAUCCAAUCUUCUGAUUAUAAGUUGGUGUUGUUUCAGAAUACAAUUGAAUAAUACUUGAUCCUCAUGUUCAACAGCAUAACACAUUACAAAGGAAUAAACCCAUCUUCUCUCAUAGGCAUAAAUUCUCUCCAAAUCCAAAAGAAAAAAAAAUGUGUUAUUUAAUCGCCACGAAACACAACCGCAAAUAUUAGACAUUGAUUCGGAACCUGUCUAAUUACAUUACAAAACUUCCAAUUUGAGUAUUCUUUAAAUAUCUGAAAGAUUAAAAUUUAUCUAAAUAAUAAUCUCAUUAGCUGUUAUUAGAAAAUGUUGGGAUCCGGUUAUAAGAUUAUCCCCUUAGCGAUUCGGUUGUUAUUAUUCCAAUCCUCAAAAUUUCACCCAAAUUUGGUUAAGAAAUUGCUGAUAAGUCAUUUAAGGUGAUAUUUCCCGCUGCACUUUUUCAAUUGCAAGUGGUACGAGAGUAGACAGAUACCGAUCACCAGAAUCUUGGGUCGAGUGACUUAUCUCCUUAACGAAUUCUUCAUGUUCAGGACCUCGCUGCGAACUGAAAAUUUGGUAAAUGAAGCAAAAUCUAAGUUAAAAUGAUCUGCUUUAGAAUUUAAGGUUUCUUCAAAACCAAGGCGGAACGUUAGCAAAAAAUGUGCAUUUCUUUUCCUAACUAGAAGAUCUUGUACUGAUAUGAAUGACUUGCCUCGUUUACUUAUUUCUUAUUGGCUCAAAUAAGCUUUGACCAGCAAGCAUGAAGAAAGUUGAACAACAGCCAGUGAAGUAAGUUGUAUUAUCAUCUGGUGAAUCUGUUUUAGCCUGCUGCUGCACACGAGUAAUUUGAUAUGAUAACAAUUUAAAACUACAAUGCAAUAUGGAAACAGAAGUUUUAAGGGGCACUAACAGCUUGCAUUUGGUAACUUUGUGCUGUUGAUGGCUCAGAGUUCCCACGACUUCUUCUCUCAUUCACAAGAAGAAGUGCACAUUUUCUUGUAAAGAACAGAAGCAGCACUCUCACAAAAAACGUAAUAAAGAAUUCGACGAUAAUGCCUGAUCCUAGAGCUGCAUUUAUAGGAAAAGGUUAGUGAGUACAAAUCUGUGAAAUGGAUAGUAAUCAAAAUGACAACUAUCACUUAUUAUGAACUAACUCUGAACUCAUUGGCCUUCUAGUUUACGGUAGCCUCAACGAAUAAAGGUAAUGACAUUUUCUCAGUACAACCUGGACAGCAACCAUAAUGUCCCAUAUCGUUUAAUUUUACUUUUAAAAGAUCAUGUCCUUCACCACUCUAAAUGCAAAGAACAGAUGGCUAAUUCAAGAUCAUUGAUAUUUUCUUUGUGGUGUGCUCUAUGAUUGUGUUUUCCUUCAAAAUUAUACUAUAAACUUCAAAGCAAAAAAUGCACUUGAUAAAAGAGUUGUUGUGCUCUUUACCAAGCUCUUAUGAGCACCUGGUUGACAUUCUCAUGUAUGGGAGACAGUCCCUCUCGAUGGUGGAUGUGAAAGAGACAUUGAGUUUCAAGGCUGCAACCAAGAAAGAAGCAAGUCAUGGGGAAUGAUUGACAGUUAGAGGGAGGCCAGGAAAGAGAGAAAAUGGUAAAGGAAAGAAGAAAAGAUCCAAGUCCAGACCCAAGAAUAUGAAGUGCUUCCAUUGGCAUAAGGAAGGUCACUUCAAGAAAGACUGUCCAUAGAAGAAUUAUAAAAGCAAAGAAACAAAAGAGAAGAUUGGUGAUGCUGUUGUUGUAUCAGAAGGACAAGAAUCUGAUGGUUAUGACUCUACUGGAGUUCUCAUAGUCUCUGAUGGUGCAUUUAGAGGUAAUUGGGUAUUAGAUUAUGGUUGUUCAUUUCAUAUGUGCCCUAAUAAAACCUUCUUUAAGAACUAUGAAACCUAUGAUGAAGGGAUAGUUGUAAUGAGAAAUGAUGCUAGUUGUAGGGUAAUUGGCAGGGGCACCAUUAAACUGAAAAUGCUUAAUGGCACAAUAAGAAAAUUAACAAAUGUUAGACAUGUCCCUGAUUUAAAGAGAAACUUGAUUUCUCUCAGCAUGCUUGACAAAAUGGGGUGUGUUAUCAAGCUCGAGUCAGGUACUUUAAAGGUGUUGAAAGGGUCUAUGGUGUUGAUGAAAGGAAACUUAGACAAUGGCCUGUAUGUGCGCCAGAGGUCUGUAGUCACAGGAGAUGUUGGAGUUUCAAACCAGAAUCUAAACAAAACUUUAUUGUGGCGCUUUAGAUUAGGCCAUAUGAGUGAGAGAGGCUUGAGAGAACUAUCAAAACAAGGAGUCUUAGGUGAAGAUAAAAUAGAGCCCUUGGAAUUUUGUGAGGAGUGUGUCCUAGGCAAAUCCUCAAGAGUUAAAUUCAGCACUGGUGCACAUAUUUCAAGAGGAACUCUAGAAUACAUACAUGCUGAUCUGUGGGGACCUGCACAGAUAGCAUCCUUAGGAGGGGCAAGGUACUUUCUAUCUUUAAUUGAUGACCAUUCCAGAAUGGUUUGGGUGUAUGUGCUGAAAAACAAAGAUGAAGUGUUAAGAAUUCAAAAACUGAAAAACAUUGAUUGAAACUCAGACCAACAGGAAGGUUAAGAAACUCAGAACUGAUACUGGUUUAGAAUUCUGCAACAAGAGGUUUGAAUAUUUUUAGAGCAAGCAUGGAGUCAUGAGGCACAGAACAGUAAGAUAUAUAUCUCAGCAAAAUAGAUUAGCUGAGAGGAUGAACAGAACCUUAGUUAAUAAAGUAAGGUGUAUGCUCAUUUAUUAUAAGCUACCCAUGUCCUUGUGGGCUGAGGCUCUAUCAACAACUUGUCACAUUGUGAACAGAAGCCCUUCAACUGGAAUUAACUUCAAAACACUAUUUGAAUUUUGGUAUGGUAAACCAGCAGAUUAUUCCAGUUUAAAGAUCUUUGGCUGUCCAGCAUAUGCUCACAUCAAACAAGGAAAAUUAGAGCCCAGGGCAUUGAAGUGUGUAUUUCUUGGUUACCUUGAAGGGGUAAAAUGGUAUAAACUAUGGUGCACAUACAUGAAACCUCCAAAAGCAAUCAUAAGCAGAUAUAUAGUAUUUAAUGAAGCUGAGAUGCUCCAACACUCAGUAUCUUUAAAGACUACAAAUGUAGAACUGGAAGAUAAAGAUGAGAGAUCUUAUCUUGAGGUGGAGCUGUCAAACUCAAACCAGAAACAGAAAUCAAGAUCAGAGGCUGGAGAUGUAAUAGACAUGGAAAUACAUGAUACUGAGAAUGAAACAGCAAGUGAUCAGGGGAGAAGUGAAGAUUAUCAGUUAGUGAUGGACAAAGGAAAGAGAGUAAUAAAACCUCCUAGAAGAUAUGCAUAUGCAGAUCUAAUUUCAUUUGCAUUAACAGCAGUGCAUGAAAUAGCAACAGAUGAACCUAGAACAUAUUCAGAAGCUAUUAACAGUGAUAAGGCAGAAGAAUGGAUCAAGGCUAUGGAUGAGGAAAUGAUGUCUUUGAAAAAGAAUCACACCUGGAAUCUCAUUGAAAGACUAGCAAACAAGAAGGUAGUAGGGUGCAAAUGGAUCUACAGGAUAAAGGAAAGAAUACCAGAUGUUGAGCCACAAAGAUACAAAGCCAGGUUGGUUGUAAAAGGCUUCACUCAGAAAGAGGGGGUUGACUUUACAGAAGUUUUCUCCCCAGUGGUGAGAUAUGCUUCCGUGAGGAUCCUGUUAUCUCUAGUGGUUGUACAAGACAUGCAUCUUGAACAGAUGGAUGUGAAGACUGCCUUCCUGUAUGGUGAAAUAGAUGAGAUGAUAGUGAUGUCACAACCUGAAGGGUAUGAGGAUCCAGAAAAGGCUGAUCAUGUAUGUCAUCUAAAGAAGUCAUUAUAUGGACUAAAACAGUCUCCAAGACUGUGGUACCUAAGAUUUGACAGGUUUAUGUCAGAUCAUGGUUUUCAAAGGAGCAGUUUUGACUGCUGUGUCUACUUUAAAACCAUAAAAGAUGGUGACAAGAUCUACCUACUGCUCUAUGUAGACGACAUGUUAAUAGCUUGUAAUGAAAUGGAGUUCAUAAAUGAAUUGAAACAGCAGCUGAGCAAUUCAUUUGAGAUGAAGGAUCUGGGUGCUGCAAAGAAGAUCCUUGGUGUUCAGCUGAAGAGAGACAGAAAGAAUGGUAUCCUAAGCCUAACACAACAAAAAUACAUCAGGAAAGUACUUGAGAAAUUCAAUAUAGAUAAAUGUAAACCAGUACAGACUCCAUUGCCCUUUCAUUUCAGACUGUCCUGUCAACAGUAUCCAAACUCUGAUGCUGAUAAAGCUGAAAUGAAUAAAUUUCCAUAUUCAAGUACUAUUGGAUGUUUGAUGUACGCAAUAGUCCUGACUAGGCCUAAUCUCUCUCAUGCAGUGAGCGUAGUAAGCAAGUAUAUGGCAAACCCAAGGAAAGAUCAUUGGAGGGUUGUAGUAUGGAUCUUCAGAUACCUUGCUGGUACAACUUAUUAUGGUUUGAUCUAUGGAGCUGAGAAAUAUGCAGAGGUUAGUGUGGAGGGUUAUGUAGAUGCAGAUUAUGCUGGAGAUCUGGAUAAAAGAAGGUCUUUAACAAGUUUUCUGUUUAUGCGUAAUGGUUGCACCAUAAACUGGAAGGCUUCACUGCAGAGUGUUGUUGCUCUGUCAACAACUGAGGCAGAAUAUACAACAGCUGCAGAAGCAAUCAAAGAAGCUAUUUGGCUCAGAGGGAUGGUGACAGAAUUGGGAUUUGAACAAAAACAAAUUACAGUUCAUUGUGACAGCCAAAGUGCUAUAUGUCUGAGCAAGAACCAGAUACAUCACGAAAAGACCAAGCAUUUUGAUAUCAAGCUUUACUUUGUCAGAUUGGAAAUAUCAAAGGGUGUGAUUAAGCUGGCUAAAAUACACACUGAUAGCAACAUUGCUGACAUGCUCACCAAAGCUGUACCAGGAGCUAAGCUUGAGUUCUGCUUGAACUCAGCUGACAUCUGCAGGGUAUAGACUGCAGAAAAGAAGUGGAAUGAUGAAUCUGAAGAAUGGAUGAUUUGAGUUCAAGGUGAAGAAUGUUGAAUAUGAACUACAAAUCAGUUUAUAGUUAAGUGCGACAAGUCGGUUGAAGAUUUGUCAAUACCAUGACAUGCCGGUUGACAAUCCUGAGAAGGGUAUAUGACAAGAAUAUCAUGUCAUCUGUGUGUGCAAAGAAGACAUGUGAUUUCGCAUGUGACUCACUUAAACAAAACGGCUACUUGAACUGUCGUUUUAUUACUUCGAAUAACAAAGAUGAAGACACGUGUGAUGGAGGCUUAUCAAAAGUCUGUUAAGCCGUUAAUUAGUGCGGGAAGCUGCUGAUCUUCGUCACUGAACACAGGGGAAGCUUGCUGGUGAUUGAGAGUCCAUCUUGAUCGAGCAUUGCUUAUAUAUACAACUAGGUAUUCUGGAAUAAGUCAUGUUUUUCAUGUGUGGUUAGCUUCUCUGAAUAAGCUUGUACUUUGUAAGACACUCAUUCAAUACAAACUUGGAUUCAUCCUUUCACAGUGGACGUAGGCUUCCAUAGCCGAACCACUAUAAGCUUUCUUUGGGUUAUUCUUUCUGUUCUUAAAUUCUUUCAUUGUUUUGCUUUGAUUGUUGGAUUGUUUAAGCAUCCUGUAACUGAGUAUAGAUCACCUUAGUUUUAGAUACAAGAACCCUUUUUUGAGUGGGUUUUGGUGUGCAGUUAUCAGUUCUUUACUGGUCUUUGGCACAACAAGAACAAUAUAUUCAGGGACUUGAAUAAAUGGAGAAUCAUUAACUGGAUCCACAAAAACCAAAACCGCCAAAUCAUUUGUCCCAUUCUUGUUCCUGGCAGAGACUAGAAUUGUGUCCUCACCAUAAAAGUUUUUGUUUCUGAACUAAAAAAAUGAAAAAAAAAACGAGUCACUAGUAAGGUAUGAAUAAUGUAAAGCUUGAAAAGUCCAUAAGAGUAUUAAUCCAGGAGGUAAUACACGAGAUAUUAAAUCAUAUCGAGUGAGUGAAUAAUACUGGCUGUCACUUCCUUUGUGAAUGGAUGGCCCCCAUUCAAAAAAAUAUUUGCGCAGAGUACAAGAAUUUUAUAAAUUCCACUCUUUUCAGGAGUAUAAGUAACAUCAAAAGCUCUGGCCUGAACUUUCAGUUUGCCGGAAGACUGGAUUCAAGGGGUUUUUUUUUUUUUAUUUUAAAAAAAGCAUCACUCCAGAAAAUCUUAUGUAUGACUUCUCAAAGAAAAUAUGUGAAUUUGUUUCUUUCAGUGUUAGUUGCGUCGACAGACAGCGAGGGAGCAAUUUCUAUCUGGUCAAUAAUGCCAUUAGUUGGUUCUAUUAAUCUUCCAUUUCUAAAACGAUAGGGCUGAACUCUUCGAUAUGAUAUUAUAUUAUUGUAUGUAGUCAGAUAACAACAAUGUAAUAUUAGCUUUAGACUGCUUAUAAGACUUUUAACUUAGAGAUGUUUCUGUGACUAAUUUAUUAUCACAUACAUUAAUCCGGAUCUGCCGAGCCAUGUCAUGUGGGAAUUAAAAACAGAGAGCAGCACAGCAUACAAGAAAAUAUUCUGAAAUGGUGCCCAAAUUCAACAACCAAUAAACAAGCAAACUUGAAUCUUGUAAUUUUUUUUUUAUUCUUUUAUCUAAUAAGCCGGUGGUGUCUAAUCCAAAUCAUACUUGUCUAUCUCAGUACAGCUGCCCGAGAUGGGCCACAUUGCAAUGCUUUUCAAAAUUUCUCUGAAAUAGUUGUAUUUUCCGACACGUAAUUGAAUGAGUUUCAAUUCAAUUAAAUGAUGAUGUUACAGCUCACGCCCUAAAAAGUAACGUACAAUCAUAGAAAUAAAGACGAGGGAAGAUAAUUUUGGUGCACGUAUCUAUAUGUGGGUGAUGCAAAACGAUUCUCCUAGUCCUCAUCCAAUAAAAUUAUAUUCUUAGAUAAUCCGCUUGGAAAGUCUUCCUUUUCAUUCCUAAUUUUUCCUCUCUUCUAUCCUCUAGCUUUAGUUAGCAACAUAAUAACCCGAAAUCAGAACCUCUAAUUCACUCGUAGGCAGUGUUUUACUUUUGAGGAACUGAAUUAACAUGGAGGGCGUACAACACAGAACUGUUAGGGUGAAUGGUAUUAACAUGCACAUUGCAGAGAAAGGUCAAGGUCCUGUGAUUCUCUUCCUUCACGGCUUUCCUGAGCUCUGGUACUCUUGGCGCCACCAGAUCACCGCCUUGGCUUCCCUUGGCUACAGAGCCGUGGCUCCGGACUUACGUGGGUUCGGUGACACGGAUGCGCCGCCUGACGUUACCAGCUACACAUGUUUCCACGUGAUUGGAGACCUCGUCGGACUCAUCGACACUGUGGCUCCCAAUGAUGAGAAGGUGUUUGUUGUGGGACAUGAUUGGGGUGCGUUCAUGGCAUGGUUCUUAUGUUUGUUUAGACCUGACAGAGUCAAAGCUUUAGUCAACUUGAGUGUCGUUUUUAAUCCUUUUGGUUCUAUCAACAACGUGAUUGAGGCUCUGACGGCUUAUUAUGGUGACAAUUACUACAUGCGCAGAUUUCAGGUAACUCGGAUGUACAUUUCUCAAACGAUAUGGCCGUCUAUUAAAAUUAAUUAAUCUUCCGUGUGUAGUACUUAAAAUUAUUAAGACAUAUGAUUUAAUUAUACUGUUAAAUCAUAUGGCUUAAUAAUUUUUUCAAGUUUUAACAAAUUUAAGAGUCUAAAUUUGGAUAUUUGGGAUAUUUUCAUAUAUGAGCAUUGAUCUCGCUCAAGAUAUUGAAUUUAUUAAAAUUCGAAAAAAUUAUUAAAACAUAUGAUUGGAUAACAUUAUGCUAUUAUAUUAUUAAAUUACAUGGUUUAAUAACUUUUAUAGAUAUUAUACUAUUAAACUGUAUGUUUAAAUAAUUUUCUCAAACUUUAAUAAAUUCAGGAUCAAAGAUUAAAAUAUUUGUGUAUGUGCGCGCGCGCUAUAUAUGAUAUUAUAUUAUAUUAUUGUAUGCAGGAGCCUGGAGAGAUUGAAGCAGAGUUUGCGCAGAUUGGUACUGAGACGGUUAUUAAGGAAUUCUUGACAUUUCGGACUCCGGGUCCGAUUAUUUUGCCUAAAGGCAAAGGAUUUGGGCAUCCACCAGAUGCUCCAAUGGCAUUACCCAGUUGGUUGUCUGAGGAAGAUGUUAAGUAUUUCACCGCCAAAUUUGACAAGAAAGGCUUUACUGGAGGAAUCAACUAUUAUAGAAAUAUUAAUCUGUAAUGCUCCCUUAUUCCUCACUCUCUACAUUUGAUACAUAGCUUUUUUAUUUUGUGAAUUUUCAAUUGUGAUAUGAAAUUAUCAGCUAUUAAGUAAAAUUGCAUAUUACAACAUGCAUAUUUAUUAAAUACUAUCAACUUUUAAUUUUUCUUUCACAGCAUCACACUAUCAAACGAAACUAACUAUUGUGAUUUUAAUGUCCACCUGAAGCAAAAUAGUUUCAAAUAUAUCCUCUAUAUAUAUAGAGAGAGAGAGUAAAUAUCCUUUUCGCCAUUGCAGGAACCAGGAACUUCUUGCACCGUGGGCGGGGAGUCGAUUACAAAUUCCGACCAAGUUCAUUAUAGGCGACGUGGACCUGGUUUAUCAUAUGCCAGGGGUGAAAGAAUACAUACACAAAGGUGGGUUCAAAAGAGAUGUGCCAUUGUUGGAGGAAGUAGUGAUAAUGGAAGGAGUUGGGCACUUCAUUAAUCAAGAAAAGGGUGAUGAGAUUAGCAAGCACAUUUAUGACUUCUUCAACAAGUUCUGAUUAGUUCUUUGCAUCUUCAUGCAUAUUUCCGCUUGGGUGUCUUUUUAUUUUAAUAAAGUUGCUGUAUUUUAAUAAAGUUGCUGGGAUGUUCUUGUGCCGGCCUGUUCUAGUUUUUGAUUCAUUAUAAACCAAGCUAUUAGUGGCUUCGACUUGUAAUUUCCGUAUUGUUGCAACAAUCAAAUAAUUUAGAGUGCCUUUGGUAUAUAAAGUUAUCUAAUAUAUAGAUAUUGAUAAAAGAAAUAUAUAUAAUUUCACAAACUAGUACAUGUAUUUAUAUAGUGCUAUAUAAAGUCAUCAUAAAAAUUUAAUAUUUGCAUUCUCUUUAAUUUUUUUUUCUCUCAAUAUAAAUUCUAUAAAUAUUGUAUAAUAUAUAAAUCAUUGUCCCAAACAACUAUUACAAAAAAAAAAAAAUUGUUUCAUCAUAAAUUUUUAAUGCAACAUAGCAUGAAUCGUUUAAAAUAUAGAAAUAAUUAUUACUAUGUAGAGUUAAGUUUCGCAAGAUAAUAUCUAGAAAAAAUAAUCACUUAUUAUAAUGUUUAUUUCAUUCUUAUAUAUAAUUUAAUCAAAUUAGGACUAAAUUUUUUUAUAACUAUAUGAAGAUUAUUCUUAUAUAGAGUACUACUUAAUGAAGUUUUACUAUAAAGUAAAAUAUAUGUAAGCCCAUCUUUUUGGUCUUAUUUAAUUUGUAUUAAAGUUUCAAAUGAAAAGAAGAAACGUGAGGACUUUGAUAAUUAUUAUGCAAAUAAAACAAAAAAGUUGAGCCCAAGUUCAAUUUACAAUGGAAGAAUACGAGAAAUAACAAAAAAGUUGUUUUCUACUCUUGUUCACAAAUUGUGCAUUUACUUCUUGCAUUAGAAAAUUGAAAUUAUUAACAAGUUUAUUUCACAAAAUGAGAGUGGGAAUUGAAAUAGUAGGACUUACCCCAAUUUGGGAAUGAAAAUUCUUAGAGGAUGGAAAUUAGGAUUGGAAAAAAGUCCAGACUGGGUCGUAGGCUUAAAGCCAUGGCACGCAGAGGCUGAGCCUGGAUAUGGGCCACAAAAUUUAGAGUCCGCACAGGUUGGGUUAUGUCAUAAGAUGCCUUACAUAACAUUUUUUUUUCAUUUUGUUAUUUUUGCAAAACAGAAAAUGGCUGACCAUAAAAAUACCAAAUACCCUUUAUUCUUUUCUCAAUUUUUCAAUCAACCUCGUAGGGUUAUGAUGAAAUCAAUAGAGGCUUAAUUGUGGGGAUGUCAAUGGCCAAAUCGGGCUAGGGCUAUGAGUCAGGGUCACCUCGAAAAUUUUGUGUACAUUUUGCUUGAAAUGCAGUUGCAGUGGAGUGGACAUCAUAAGUUCAAGCACUUCCUGGCCUUCGGCGUUUUUCAAUAUCAAAGUUUACAUCCAGGAGGCCCGUUAUACCAGCUGUUAUCUUUUGACCAACUUUUACAGGGCCAACGCCCUGUGGAGUGCCUGCACAAACCGAAUCGAUGGUAAUAAGUCAAACUUCAGUUAUUCAUAAAGACUUGCAUACAAAACUGGGAGCUGAUUUUAAGGAUUUGAAUAUGAUUAUGAAAAUUGGAGAGAAGGAUAUCUUACGAAGUGAACACAGUAAAUAACAAUAAUGACACUAAUAACGUAACUUAUACACAGUGACAAUACACCUUCCUAAGCAUAAUAAGCUCUAACAUAUCAGUUAUCAGUAUUUAUACCAAGUAAAAUUGCACUAAUAUUCUUCACCAAAGCAAAAAUGAAAUUUGGUAACAGAUUCCACUAUCAACUGAUAUGCCAGUUUAUGCCAAGGCAUCAUAAUAUCUUGAAGCACCUAGAAAAAUUAACUUAUAAAGUAUGUUAGUGUUUUUAUUUGAAGGAAAAUGAACUGCAAUACCUGUUAAUAUGACAUCUCCUUCAAAAAGUGUCAUAAUUGAACUUAUGUGGCUAAUUAGAUAUGGUAUCUUAAAAAUCAUAUCCUUAGUGGAGCCUUUCUGUCGAAUCUCUCCAUCAACCUGCAGUGAAACACAUUUAAAGUUAAUCCACCCAGUGAAAAACAAAUUUGAAGCUUUGACAAAAGCCAUAAAGAAAUAUGAGAGUAAAGUGUAAUGAUUAUGCACCUUUAACCAUAGUUCCAAGUUGUGAGGGUCAGGCACUGCUGACUUUGGUAGCUGCAAAUAUAUUUUAAACAAGUCAAAAAGGAGUGUAUUUAGUAAACACAUAACAAAAUUGGCAAUAGAAAAUAAAAUUCUCUUCCUCUCUUCUUUUCUACUAGCAGAUACAAGUAAAGGGUGCACCAAGCGGAGGAUAAAUGGUAAACUCUUGUCUGCUUUGAAAGAAAAACACCAAUUUUCUUUUUCAAACUUCGACAAACAAGGUAUAAUCGCUAUUCUCAAGCACAAUUAUUUCCUUCCCAUAGCCUAUCCCAAAGCCACAUUUGGUGCUGUCAAUGGCCUAACAAUAAACUGGUUCAAAAUUAGGCUUUCAAUAUCGGGCCUGAAAAUUGAUUACUGCACAACAUAAUUUCAGCAGAGACAGAAACAUCAAAGUACUUCAAUCAGUUUCUUACGACAGAGCUAAUUGGAGUGAAGGUGUCCUGCCCUUUAACCACUGUCCACGGAAGACAUGCAGACGGACAUAUUGGACAAAAAAUAAAUGACAAGAAAAUGCAGCAUUAUAAAUUGGAUCAAAUAAGAUAACUUAAUGUGCUCAUACACUUAUUGUUUCAUAAUGAAGCACACAAGUAGUAUCCAAUCUUCUGAUUAUAAGUAGGUAUUAUUUCAGUAUACAAUUGAAUAAUACUCGAUCCUCGUGUUAAAAAAACAUAACACAUUACAAAGGAAUAAACCCAUCUUCUCUCAUAGGCAUAAAUUCUCUCCAAAUCGAAAAGAAAAAAAAAAUGUGCUAUUUAAUCGCCAAGACAUUGAUUCGGAACCUGUCUAAUUUCAUUACAAAACUUCCAAUCUGAGUAUUCUUUAAAUAUCUGAAAGAUUAAAAUUUAUCCAAAUAAUAAUCUCAUUAGCUGUUAUUCGAAAAUGUUGGGAUCCGGUCAUAAGAUUAUCCCCUUAGCGAUCCGGUUGUUAUUAUUCCAAUCCUCAAAAUUUCACCCAAAUUUGGUUAAGAAAUUGCUGAUAAGUCAUUUAAGGUGAUGUUUCCCGCUGCACUUUUUCAAUUGCAAGUGGUACGAGAGUAGACAGAUACCGAUCACCAGAGUCUUGGGUCGAGUGACUUAUCUCCUUAACGAAUUCUUCAUGUUCAGGACCUCGAUGCGAACUGAAAUUUUGGUAAAUGAAGCAAAAUCUAAGUUAAAAUGAUCUGCUUUAGAAUUUAAGGUUUCUUCAAAACCAAGGCGGAACGUUAGCCAAAAAUGUGCAUUUCUUUUCCUAAGUUAAAAUGAUUUGCCUCGUUUACUUAUUUAUUAUUGGCUCAAAUAAGCUUGACCAGCAAGCAUGAAGGAAGUUGAACAACAGCCAGUGAAGUAAGUUGUAUCAUCAUCUGGUGAAUCUGUUUUAGCCUGCUGCUGCACACGAGUAAUUUGAUAUGAUAACAAUUUAAAACUGCAAUGCAAUAUGGAAACAGAAGUUUUAAGGGGCACUAACAGCUUGCAUUCGGUAACUUUGUGCUGUUGAUGGCUCAGAGUUCCCACGGCUUCUUCUCUCAUUCACAAGAAGAAGUGCACAUUUUCAUGUAAAGAACAGAAGCAGCACUCCCACAAAAAACGUAAUAGAGAAUUCGAUGACAAUGCCUGAUCCUAGAGCUGUAUUCGCAGGAAAAGGUUAGUGAGCAACAAAUCUGUGAAAUGGAUAGUCAUUAAAAUGACAACUAUCACUUACUAUGAGCUAACUCUGAACUCAUUGGCCUUCUACUGAUCAAGUUUACGGUAGCCUCAGCGAAUAAAGGUAAUGAGAUUUUCUCAGUACAAUCUGAACGGCAACCAUAAUGUCCCAUAUCGUUUAAUUUCACUUUUAAAACAUCAUGUCCUUCACCACUCUAAAUGCAAAGAACAGAUGGCUGAUUCAAGAUCAUUGAUAUUUUCUUUGUGGUGUGCUCUGUGAUUGUGUUUUCCUCCAAAGUUAUACUAUAAACUUCAAAGCGAAAAAACUUACUUGAUAAAAGAGUUGUUGCAUUAUUGUGCCUCGAAACCUAACUACGUUGGCUUUAAUUGUUACAAUAUAUCCAGGGACUUGAAUAAAUGGAGAAUCAUUAACUGGAUCCACAAAAACCAAAACCGCCAAAUCAUUUUUCCCAUUCUUGUUCCUGGCAGAGACUAGAAUUGCGUCCUCACCAUAAAAGUUUUUGUUUCUGAAUUAAAAAAUGAAAAAAACAAGUCACUAGUAAGGUAGGAAUAAUGUAAAGCUUGAAAAGUCCAUAAGAGUAGUAAUUCGGGAGGUAAUACCCGAGAUAUUGAAUUAUAUCGAGUGAGUGAUAAUACUGGCUGUCACUUCCUUUGUCAAUGGAUAGCCCCCAUUCAAAACAAUAUUUGCGCAGAGUACAAGAAUUUUAUAAAUUCCACUCUUUUCAGGAGUAUAAGUAACAUCAAAAGCUCUGGCCUGAACUUUCAGUUUGCCGGAAGACUGGAUUCAAGGGGAAUUUUUUUUUUUUUUUAAAAAAAAGAAGGCAUCACUCAAGAAAAUCUUAUGCAUGACUUCUCAAAGAAAAUAUGUGAAUUUGUUUCUUACUGUGUUAGUUGCGUCAACAGACGGUGAGGGAGCAAUUUCUAUCUGGUCAAUAAUGCCAUUAGUUGGUUCUAUUAAUCUUCCAUUUCUAAAACGAUAGGGCUGAAGUCUGUUAUAAUUAAUUAGUCUUCGAUAUGAUAUUAUAUUAUUGUAUGUAGUCAAAUAAUAACAAUGUAAUAUUAGCUUUAGACUGUUUAUAAGACUUUUAACUUAGAGAUGUUUCGGUGACAUAAUUUAUCAUCACAAACAUUAAUCUGGAUCUGCCGAGCCAUGUCAUGUGGGGGAAUUAAAAAGAGAGAGCAGCACAGCAUACAAGAAAAUAUUCUGAAAUGGUGCCCAAAUUCAACAACUAAUAAACAAGCAAACUUGUAUCUUAUAAUUUUUUUUUUUUUCUUUUAUCUAAGAAGCCUGUGGUGUCUAAUCCACCUUCAAGUACAUACUGUAUUAGCAAUUAACUUAUUCGUAGUGUACUUUGAAAAGUGUAACUGAAUAUGAUCCUAAAAAACAUAAUGAAUUCAAUCAACAGUAUCUCCCCUGCCAUUCAUUUGAGGAGUCUUCAUAUAGUACAGUGCUGUAUGACAUACAGCCUACUUUUUCCACUUGAACAACCGGUAUUUUACCGGUUGUUCUUUCAAUAAUUUUUUAAAAAUCAUUUUUAAUGCAGAAAAAAUAAAAUAAAAUGAAAAAAAUUAAGGAAAUUUAUAAACAUUUAACUUAAAAAAUAUUUGAGUGAGAAAAAUAUUUUUAAUCUAAAUGAAAGUUAAAAAAAAAGGUAAAAUAAUCAUGUCCCAAUACUUUUGGUUAAAUAUCAAUAUAUUAGGUUGAUGUUUCAAAUUAAUUUCACAUGUCUCUAAUUUUGGUUAAACUUUCUCACGAAUAGGUUCAUUUGUUUAUACUUUCCAAUUCACUAGUUUUGUGCUUAAUAUUCCUAUUAAAUUCGUUAGAUACUAAUAUUUUGGGUUAAAUUCCAAGUAGAUUCGUUUCUCGUUAAAAAAGUUUCUAAAUUUGGUUAUUCUUUCUCCCCUUUUGGUUUAUAUGUUUCAACUAUUAUUCCACUGGUUUUGCGUUUAAUAUUCCAACUAACUUGGUAAGAUUCCGGUUGUUUGGGUUAAAUACCCAAAUUAUUUUUUUUUGGUUAGAUUAGUUCCUGAUUUUGGUUAUUUUUUUUCAUUUAUAGGUUCAUAUAUUUCAAUUUAUUAUUCCACCGAUUUUACAUUUGAUAUUCCUACUAAAUUCGUUAAAUGCCAAAAUUUUGGGUUAUGUUCCAAGUAACUUUCAUUUUCCGUUGGAUGAAUUCCUAAUUUUCAUUACACUUUCUCUCUUAUUGGUUCAUGUGUUUCAACUAAUUGUUACUCUAAUUUUGUGUUAAAUAUUUCCAUUAAUUUGGCAAGAUUCCAAUUAUUCCGGUUAGGUACCAGAUUUAUUUUUCAUAAUUUUAUUUUUGGUUAGGUAAGUUCCUAAUUUUGGUUAUACUUUCUCCCUUAUGGGUCUAUAUAUUUCAACUAUUAUUUCACUGAUUUUGCAUUUAAUAUUCCAAUUAACUUAGUAAGAUUCCGGUUGUUUGGGUUAAAUACCCAAAUUAUUAUUUUUGGUUAGAUUAGUUCCUAAUUUUGAUUAAGUUUUUUCAUUUAUAGGUUCAUAUGUUUCAAUUUAUUACUCCACUGAUUUUACGUUUGAUAUUCCUACUAAAUUCGUUAAAUGCCAAAAUUUUGGGUUAUGUUACAAGUAACCUUAAUUUUUCGUUGGAUGAGUUCCUAUUUUUCGUUGCACUUUCUCUCUUAUUGGUUCAAGUGUUUCAACUAAUUGUUACUCUAAUUUUGUGUUGAAUAUUCCCAUUAAUUUGGUAAGAUUCCAAUUAUUUCGGUUAGUUACCAAAUUUAUUUUUCAUAAUUUUAUUUUUGGUUAAAUAAGUCCCUAAUUUUGGUUAUACUUUCUCCCUUAUGGGUACAUAUAUUUCAACUAUUAUUUAACUGAUUUUGCGUUUAAUAUUCUAAUUAACUUGGUAAGAUUCCGGUUGUUUGGGUUAAAUACCCAAAUUAUUUUUUUUGGUUAGAUUAGUUCCUAAUUUUGAUUAAGUUUUUUCAUUUACAGGUUCAUAUGUUUCAACUUAUUAUUCCAUCGAUUUUACGUUUGAUAUUCCUACUAAAUUUGUUAAAUACCAAAAUUUUGGGUUAUGUUCCAAGUAACUUUCAUUUUUCGUUUGAUGAGUUCCUAAUUUCCGUUGCGCUUUCUCUCUUAUUAGUUUAUGUGUUUCAAGUAAUUGUUACUCUAAUUUUGUGUUGAAUAUUCCUAUUAAUUUGGUAAGACUCCAAUUAUUCCGGUUAGGUACCAAAUUUAUUUUUCAUAAUUUUAUUUUUGGUUAGGUAAGUAUCUAAUUUUGGUUAUACUUUCUCCCUUAUGGGUCUAUUUGUUUCAACUAUUAUUCUACUAAUUUUGGUUUGAACCUUCCCAUUAACUUGGCAAUAUUCCAAUUAUUGGGUUAAAUAGUCAAUGUACUCGUAUUACCAAUAACAAUAAUAUUAAUAAGGUGAAUUAUGUUUAACCCCUUACUAUUUUAGUAAAUAUCAACUUACUAUAUAGUACUAAAAAAUCUUUAUUACAACCCUUAAUCUUUUCUAAUAUUUUGUCUAUAAUCUAAGUCCAUUUUUUUUCUAUUUUCUUCACUUGAAUUUGAUUGUGUGUGUGUGUGUGUGUGUGUGUGUGUGUCUAUAUAUAUAUAUAUAUACAUACUUGAGCGAGUAAUCUUUAUACAUAUUUAUUCUCAUUUUAUCAUUUUAAUUAAUUGUUUUUAGUUAUCAAGUAAAUUAAUGCAUUCAUUUUCAGCUUUGACAGUAGAUUAAAAGUAUAUAUAAAGGUGCGUGCAAUUGCUGUGUUUUUCAAAAAAAAAUUAAUUUUUUAAAAGUUUUGACAGCAUAAAUUAUAAAAAAAAUUUAAACUUACAAAAGUUGAAAUUUUCUUAAUUUAUUUGUGUUGAAUUAUCUUUUUUCUCUUUUUGGGGGGAUCAAUUGAAUUGAUAAGAUUUCUUGAACUUGAAUUUAUUUAUACUUAAAUUUUGAUUUUUGUAAAUGUUAUGCCCAUUUUAUCAUUCAAUUAACCAUAUUUAUUUAUCUUUAAACUAAAAUAAAUCAAGAAUUAAGAUUUUUUUGAAUUCGAAUUAAAUUUUUACCACUCUAUUUUCUUUUCAAAUUAGUUUUAGUAAUUUCCAACUACUUCAACAAAAUAUUUAUGUUAUUAAUUAUAAAUAUUAUUAUAUUAUACUUGUAUUAUUACCACUAUUAUUAUUAUUUGUUUUUUAAACUAUUACUACAAUUAUUAUUACUACAAUCAUGAGAUUUUUUAACAAAAUUUUUUCUUACAAUGAGUAUUCUUCCUUUUCAUUUUUAAAUAUGUAUAUAAUUUUUGAUUUAUAAAAUAAGUUCUUCAAUAUAAUUUUCAGAAAUUUGUUAUGCCCAACAAUAUGGUACGAUGAAAAUCUAACAUUAUAGUAAUAUGAUUUUGCAUGUUUAAUUAAUUUAUCUUUUUCAAAUGGUCUUUUUUACUCAUAAAAUUAUUGACAUUUAUUUGCAAAUAAAAUUAUAACGUCCUCCUAAUUUAUCCGAUGCACUUAAAAAUUACUCAAAUCAAGAGUUUCAUUACAAGAAUGAGAACUUCGAUCACUUAAGCAGUUACUUACAAUAGUAACAUAAUGUGAGGCUUAUUGAAAAGUUAAAAUUGUAAAAAGAGUCGACCCUAAAACCACUUUUGUUCAGAAAUUUUUUUACAAACUUGUGAGAAAAUAACUCUUUAAAAACUAUUAAUAUCAAUAAAACAAUCACAAAAUUAAAUCAAUUCACAGCUUCCAAAAGCUAAAUCAAAUGCUAAUAAUUUGAGAUUUAGAUUUCAUGGGUCUCUGCAUAAAAAAAUACAAAAACCAAAUGAAAUUAGAAAAAAAGGCUGCAAAAAAAUAACAAAAAUAUUCAAAUUUCAAAGGUAUGAUCCAAAUUCUUAGGCAGGAUCAAAUAUCUAUUGUUUUGAACAAAAAAAAAUUGAAACUUAAAUAUAAAAUAACACAAAACUAUAUUCUAAUUUUAACAACAUAUUUUUUUGAUGAUUUUUUAACAACAAUAUUCAAAAUAUAAAAAAAAAAAUUUCUCGACUAGGGUUUCUAACAAUGGAAGAAUGAGAGGUAUUUAUAUUUUGAAUCAAAAUUUGGGGAAAAAAUUAAAAAAUUGUAAAUGUACGCGGUAUUAAAACAAAAUUGCUUUUUAUCUUGGCGGUAGUUUUACCCACCUAAAUGAAACCUAAGUACUUAUUGUUUCACCAAAAAAAUAAUAUAAUUUAAUUUAAAAAAUAUAGAUAUAAAAUUUAAGCUUGUUAAUAUUUUUACAUAAUUUUAUAUUUUUAGUUGUUAUAUAAAUUAACUUAAUUUUAAAAAAUAUAGAUAUAAAUGUAAGAUUGAACUAAUUUUGUGAUCAUUGCACACUAUUCAGUAUACAAAUCAUGAACCAUCAAGUGAGUGUAGUGUUACUCAAAUAAUUUGAUUUAAUUUAGAAAUGUAAUUGUCGUGCUUAAAGUAUAUAACUGUAAAAAUAAUUUAAUAUAACAUUAUUCAAUAUUAGUUGCAUUCAAUUUGUAAUUAUCCAUAUUAUGUACCAUUAUAAAUUUGAUUAAUGUUUAGCAAAAAAAAAUUACUAUACCAAAAAAAAUUAAAUAAAGUAAUUAAUUUGACAUAAUUUUGUAUAAAUCAAUUUGCAUAAGAGAUUGUUUGUGAGUUUUAUUUAAAAAUAUGAAAUAUUAGAUGCUUUAUAUUUGUCUAAUAUAUGAUUUUUUUUUUAGAGGGUAUACAAAGAACAUAUAUUAGCCACUAAUAAUAACAACAACAACAACAUUUGAGGGGUAAGUAUGAUUUUGGUAUAAUAAUUAUUCGAUAGUUGGAUAAACAUUACAAUCAUUUUCGUAGUUAGGGAUUUAAGUCCUUAUAUGUGUAUUGUGGUUUGUGGGAUAUUGAGAUUGAUUUCUUCCAAAUAUUUAGGAAUGAAUUGUUUUUAUUAUAUGUUUAGAUACUUGGAUUUUAAUGUGAUUAAAAGUUGAUAAAGUUGUUUUGAUAGUUUUUUAGGCAAAACAUCAUUACAUUUAUAAAGUAAUAUAAAAAUAGUUUAAUUGAUAUAUAAUUUAUUUUUUAAUUAAUAUAUAGUUUAUUGUAAUUUUUUAUAUUAAAAUAUUAUUCUUAUUAGUACUUAAGUUACAUUUUAAAGUAAAAUAUCAUUAAAUUUAUAACGUAAUAUUAAUAAAAUAAAAUAAUUAUUUUUGUUUAAAUAUAUUAAUCUAUUAAUUUUACUUAAUUAUAUUUUUAUUAGUACAUAAGUUAAAUAUAUUAACUAUUUUUUCAUGAAUUAAAAGAAAAAGUAGUAUUUUCUUUUUUUAAGUUGAGGGGGUCUUUGAUAGUUUUCUAACUUUAGAUUGAUUAUCGUAAUAUUUACCUAACAUGAGGGAGCCAUAUGAUAGUUACCAUUUAAUAUUUGCCUCUUUUAAGCAAUUAAAAUGAGAGUACCGGUGGCCGGUUAUUGGUUGUAUUAAUAAAAUAAUAAAAAGCGGCUGUAUGAGAUACAACCGCUGUAUUAUAAGCGGACCCUCAUUUGAGAACUUGUUUUAUCUAAGAAGCCGGUGGUCUAAUCCAAAUCAUACUUGUCUAUCUCGGUACAGCUGCCCGAGAUGGGCCACACUGCAAUGCUUUUCAAAAUUUCUCUGAAAUACUCGUCAAAAAAAAAAAAAAAAAAAAUUUCUCUGAAAUAUAUAGGUGUAUUUUCCGACACUUAAUUAAAUGAGUUUUAAUUCAAUUAAAUGAUGAUGUUACAGCUCACGCCCUAAAAAGUAACGUACAAUCAUAAGGCCACGCCUAUGUUACAACUGUAGUGAGUUACCACACUUUUUGUCUGUUUGCUAGUAAACCGUUGGGUUCAAAUGAAAGUGAUCCAACGAUCAAUAACUUGACACCUGGACAUUAAUGCUUACCGGCUAAUUCGGUUAUGAAAAGUAAUAAAUUCGAGACCAAAAUUGUGGUGCUAGGUAACAACGCUCUGGUUGUGAAUAACGAAAUUAAAGGAAAGAUAAAAAUGCAACAAAACAGUGGUGUCUGGUAACAACCACGGUGUUAACAAGAAUAAGUUAAUCCAAUUCUAGAGAGUAGCAGCAAACUUACCAAAAAAAUUAUCAGAGACAAUUUAUCAAACACCUAUUUUUGUGCUUAAAACUGCAAAUUUGCAAUCUCAUUACAGACCUAAUCUAUCAUUGUCAAAAAAAUCCAUCAAAAUCAUUAAAAAAAAAAAGUCUUCAAAUAUAAAGAGAAUGGAAAAAAAAAAAAUCCGCCUUUUAACAAUAUUGAUAGUCGAUAGCUGCCGACGCUACCAAUUCUAUACCAGCUAUGUUCGCAGGUCGCUGUCACUUCCAUGGCAAGCAUUUUGAUCUAGCUGCCAUCGUCUGGACUUGAAAUUGCAGGUAAUCGCCUUGCUGCCAUCAUGGAGAUGUAUGAACCAUGGCCAAUAGGCAUCAAAUUCAUAAGCAACACCGCCCACAUUCACCAAGUUCAUGCCAAGCCCACCAGCAACCAUUGAUUAAUGGCAAGUUUAGUGUUUUAAAGUCUAGAAUUUUGUAGACACUCUCGGUUUCUUUUACCGUUAAUUCACUACCACCGCCGAUUUGGUUGAGGAAAAUAAAUGUUUCAGAGUUUACAAGGGUAAUUGAUUAACAUUAUUAAAAAAAAAAAUUGAUAGUGUGGCCUUUUUUAAAAUUGAAAUGUAGAAAGUGGUUAAAUCUGUAGAUUCUCAUUAAAAUUGAACCCAAAAUAUAAUUAAAAUAUUAUACAAAUUCAUUAAAUCUUCAACAUAAUUCUAAACCCACAAAAUGAAUUAAUUUAAAAGGAAAAUACCCAUUAUUUGGAGAAGCACUUACUACCGUACCCAUGUAACAAAUCAUCAAAAACCAACUUGGUUUGGACUUUGGACUCUUCAAUUUCAAUUUGACUCCUCCACCAAAGCACCCAACAACAACUCAACAACUAAAUCACUCGUCCUAAUAGCAUAACAAUCCGGCCGCCGGCUGCCUGCACGUGAGAGGCCAUUUUCUUGGUCAUGGUCGGAAUUCUGGAAUUAAUUCUGCGAUCCUCUUGUAUCGAUUUUCAUCUUCUAUGCUGCUCAAGAAGUGAAAAAAGAUGUCGGUUAAACCCUAAUUACAAUCACUUCCGGUUUCAAUUAGCUGAUGUUUGUCAUCCUCUUAUAUUAAUUUUGGUUUACAGUUGCCUGAAGAAGAGCAUCCAUGUCCGUCGAAUCCUGCUUACCCUUAGUUUUACCUGCAAUUAGAUUUAUGUAAAUUAAAGCAACCGGCUAAACCGUUGACCAGUGGUCGUUUAAUUAUCAAACAAUUAUUUGUGGCCGUUAGAUUAAAUAAUAAGGCAUCCAUCGGCUGUACUAAAUACAGACAAAAAGUAUGAUAUGAUACAACUGUUGUAACAGAGCUGAUCCAAUUAUUGAUCUAAUCUACAGUUAUCACCAGCUGUGGUAUCAUAUCGCUGUAGCACUGGACCCCUAUAUAUGAUGCAAUCAUGCAAAACGAUUCUCCUCGAACUCAUCCUAUAAAGUUAUCUUUACCAGCAAUCCAUUCUUGGAUAAUCCGCUUGGAAAGUCUUCCUUUUCAUUCCUAAUUUUUCCUCUCUCUUCUAUCCUCUAACUUUAGUUAGCAACAUAAUAACCAGAAAUCAGAACCUCUAAUUCACUCACAGGCAGUGUUUUUACUUUUGAGGUACUGAAUUAACAUGAAGGGCAUCCAACACAGAACUGUUAAGGUGAAUGGUAUUAACAUGCACAUUGCAGAGAAAGGCCAAGGUCCCGUGAUUCUCUUCCUUCACGGCUUUCCUGAGCUCUGGUACUCUUGGCGCCACCAGAUCACCGCCUUGGCUUCCCUUGGCUACAGAGCCGUGGCUCCGGACUUACGUGGGUUCGGUGACACGGAUGCGCCGCCUGACGUGACCAGCUACACAUGUUUCCACGUGAUUGGAGACCUCGUCGGACUCAUCGACACCGUGGCUCCCAAUGAUGAGAAGGUGUUUGUUGUGGGACAUGAUUGGGGUGCGUUCAUGGCAUGGCUCUUAUGUUUGUUUAGACCUGACAGAGUCAAAGCUUUAGUCAACUUGAGUGUCGUUUUUAAUCCUUUUGGUUCUAUCAACAACGUGAUUGAGGCUCUGAGGGCUUAUUAUGGUGACAAUUACUACAUGUGCAGAUUUCAG
rnacentral:lncRNA from 1 species